UCAGUAUCUGUGUUGGCCGAUAUGCCUCUGUUAAAAUCAGCUAUUGGUAUCGCCCCCCAAAAUGUCUAUUGGUGCA